rnacentral:rRNA from 1 species
CCUACGGGUGGCUGCAGUGGGGGAUAUUGCACAAUGGGGGAAACCCUGAUGCAGCGACGCCGCGUGGGUGAAGAAGUAUUUCGGUAUGUAAAGCCCCAUCAGCAGGGAAGAAAGAAGACGGUACCUGACUAAGAAGCACCGGCCAACUACGUGCCAGCAGGCGCGGUAAUACGGAGGGGGCGAGCGUUAUCCGGAUUCACUGGGUGUAAAGGGAGUGUAGACGGGUGUGCAAGCCAGGAGUGAAAGCCUGGGGCCCAACCCCGGGACUGCUGUUGGUACUGGGCGGCUAGAGUGCGGGAGGGGCAGGCGGAAUUCGUGGUGUAGCGGUGAAAUGCUUAGAUAUCACGAAGAACCCCGACGGCGAAGGCAGCCUGCUGGACCGCGACUGACGUUGAGGCUCGAAAGCGUGGGGAGCGAACAGGAUUAGAUACCCCUGUAGUC